rnacentral:rRNA from 1 species
UACAGAGGUGCCAAGCGUUAGGCGGAAUCACUGGGCUUAAAGCGCGUGUAGGUGGACGGGUAAGUAUCUUGUGAAAUCCCACGGCUCAACCGUGGAACUGCUGGAUAUACUGCUUGUCUUGAGGCACUUAGGGGCAGCUGGAACAAAUGGUGGAGCGGUGAAAUGCGUAGAUAUCAUUUGGAACGCCAAAGGCGAAAGCAGGCUGCUGGGAGUGAUCUGACACUGAGACGCGAAAGCCAGGGGAGCAAACAGG